rnacentral:rRNA from 1 species
UUCGGGGUACACGAGCGGCGAACGGGUGAGUAACACGUGGGUGAUCUGCCUCGCACUCUGGGAUAAGCCUGGGAAACUGGGUCUAAUACCGGAUAUGACCACGAAUCGCAUGGUUUGUGGUGGAAAGGUUUACUGGUGCGAGAUGGGCCCGCGGCCUAUCAGCUUGUUGGUGGGGUAACGGCCUACCAAGGCGACGACGGGUAGCCGGCCUGAGAGGGCGACCGGCCACACUGGGACUGAGACACGGCCCAGACUCCUACGGGAGGCAGCAGUGGGGAAUAUUGCACAAUGGGCGAAAGCCUGAUGCAGCGACGCCGCGUGAGGGAUGACGGCCUUCGGGUUGUAAACCUCUUUCGACAGGGACGAAGCGCAAGUGACGGUACCUGUAGAAGAAGCACCGGCCAACUACGUGCCAGCAGCCGCGGUAAUACGUAGGGUGCGAGCGUUGUCCGGAAUUACUGGGCGUAAAGAGCUUGUAGGCGGUCUGUCGCGUCGAUCGUGAAAACGUGCAGCUCAACUGCGCGCCUGCGGUCGAUACGGGCAGACUAGAGUACUUCAGGGGAGACUGGAAUUCCUGGUGUAGCGGUGAAAUGCGCAGAUAUCAGGAGGAACACCGGUGGCGAAGGCGGGUCUCUGGGAAGUAACUGACGCUGAGAAGCGAAAGCGUGGGUAGCGAACAGGAUUAGAUACCCUGGUAGUCCACGCCGUAAACGGUGGGUACUAGGUGUGGGUUUCCUUCCACGGGAUCCGUGCCGUAGCUAACGCAUUAAGUACCCCGCCUGGGGAGUACGGCCGCAAGGCUAAAACUCAAAGGAAUUGACGGGGGCCCGCACAAGCGGCGGAGCAUGUGGAUUAAUUCGAUGCAACGCGAAGAACCUUACCUGGGUUUGACAUACACCGGAAAGCCGUAGAGAUACGGCCCCCCUUGUGGUCGGUGUACAGGUGGUGCAUGGCUGUCGUCAGCUCGUGUCGUGAGAUGUUGGGUUAAGUCCCGCAACGAGCGCAACCCUUAUCUUAUGUUGCCAGCGCGUAAUGGCGGGGACUCGUGAGAGACUGCCGGGGUCAACUCGGAGGAAGGUGGGGACGACGUCAAGUCAUCAUGCCCCUUAUGUCCAGGGCUUCACACAUGCUACAAUGGCCGGUACAGAGGGCUGCGAUACCGCGAGGUGGAGCGAAUCCCUUAAAGCCGGUCUCAGUUCGGAUCGGGGUCUGCAACUCGACCCCGUGAAGUUGGAGUCGCUAGUAAUCGCAGAUCAGCAACGCUGCGGUGAAUACGUUCCCGGGCCUUGUACACACCGCCCGUCACGUCAUGAAAGUCGGUAACACCCGAAGCCG